UCAAAAGGACCUCGUAACUCACUCCCGAUCACUUCGUGAAGAGUUUUCUGUUAUCGGAGGAGAAAAACCAUCGGUUGGAAAUGCUUUCAAACAAGGCCCAGUUAUCCAAUCAGCAACCCAUGGGACUGGUAACACGUGACGAUUUAGUGCAUCCCAGAACAGCCCUUCCAAGU